rnacentral:rRNA from 1 species
AUCCCUUGACGGUAUCUACCCAGAUAGCCACGGCUAACUCCGAGCCAGCAGCCGCGGUAAUACGUAGGUGGCAAGCGUUGUCCGGAUUUAUUGGGCGUAAUGCGAGCGCAGGCGGUUUCUUAAGUCUGAUGUGAAAGCCCCCGGCUCAACCGGGGAGGGUCAUUGGAAUCUGGGAGACUUGAGUGCAGAAGAGGAGAGUGGAAUUCCAUGUGUAGCGGUGAAAUGCGUAGAUAUAU